GGAUUCCCCUAGUAACGGCGAGUGAAGAGGGAAUAGCCCAGCACCGAAUCCCCCGGCCGUGUCGUCGGUGGGAACUGUGGUGUUUGGGAGUGUCUCUGGGGCGGCUGGUGUUGUGUUCGAGUCCUCCUGAUCGGGGCUUGACCCAGAGAGGGUGUAAGGCCUCUACAGCACUCACCUCCGUCUCUAUGGCGCUCCCCGGAGUCGGGUUGUUUGAGAUUGCAGCCCAAAGUGGGUGGUAAACUCCAUCUAAGGCUAAAUACAAGCGCGAGACCGAUAGCGAACAAGUACCGUGAGGGAAAGUUGAAAAGCACUUUGAAGAGAGAGUUGGACAGUACGUGAAACCGUUUACAGGUUAAACGGAUGGGACCGCAAUGUCGACGGCGGGGAUUCAGGCUGCUGGGUCUGGCUGGAUUGGGUUUGGUGAUCGUCAAAACACCAUCCUGUCUUUGCUCGGACUUUGGUAGACGCACUUCCCCGUCGGAGAGCGCCACGACCGCUUGCUUGGCAGUCAGAAGCCUCCUGGUCAAGGUAGCCCCUUCCUUCGCGGGACGGGGUGCUUAUAGGUCUGGGAAUUCGGCUGGCCUGCUGGGCGAGUGAGGAACUCGGGCCGCACGCUUUCGGUCUGCGCCGCCGGUUUGGUGUUCGACUAGCGAGGACUGCUUGCAGUGCUUGCUGACCGCACUGGCUGGGUCGGGUGUGGAGCUCGGAGGCGUGCCGAAGGGUCAGUGGUGAUUGAUCGGCACCCUAUCCGACCCGUCUUGAAACACGGACCAAGGAGUCUAACAUGUGCGCAAGUCAAAGGGCGUUACGAAACCCCAGGGCGAAAUGAGAGUGAAUGAAGGUUUAAAACCCUUCUGAGGUGUGAUCCCGGCUUUUGCUGGCUGGGCGCAACACCGGCCCGUCUCAUACCCUUCAAUGUGGUGGAGGCGGAGCUAGAGCGUACACGUUGGUACCCGAAAGAUGGUGAACUAUGCUUGAGUAGGUUGAAGCCAGAGGAAACUCUG
rnacentral:rRNA from 1 species